UGUUAAAUCAAUUUACAGGAUUCUGGUUAAGUAGGGUUUUCUUGCUUCCUUUUGAAAUAAGCCUGAGCUACAAACUUCAGAUUAUGAAUUCUCCAGCUGCUCAGAUUUGAAGAAAAGGAGAGUAGAAGACAUGGCUUACAGAGAUACUCCAAAGCAUUCUAUAUAGUCACCACCAUGAGGACCUACUUCUGGUGCCAAGCUCGGUGAGGACAUCGCUCCUCUGAAAAGUAAGACAAGUAGCCUGCGAGGAAUGCCAUAAGCUUUUUUGCUUGGGCAAAUGUAUGGUACAGUGGCAGCCUGUGGAAUUUUGGGUUCCUGAGACUGAAACCAUUUAAUCAAAAGGGCAGAAGCAGCAUCUAGAGACAGCAGAGGCAGAUGGGGAAGGACCAUGGAGGAGCUGCUCAUAGGGAUGGACAGGAAAAACCAGGAGCAAUUUGAAUUCCUCUGAACAUGGGAGGAAAGAUCUCUUCAACAUGAACUGGUUCAUGGACAUGGAGGCAUGCCAAAGGGAAUGGGAGCAUUCCCUAAUGGAGAGGCUCAUUGAACUGGUGGUCAAAAGAGUGCAGUGUCUACCUGCUGCUGAAACACCAGAACUAGCUCAUCAGCCACCACUACCACCUUCUCCAGCCCAGGGUUGCAGUGACACCCUUCGCCACUUCUGACUUACCAGGAGGAGAACACUGAGUCUCCAAAAAUACUGGAACACUGUUAUGUUCCAGCCCC